GGAUGUGAGGGCGAUCUGGCUGUGACAUCUGUCACCCCAUUGAUCGCCAGGGUUGAUUCGGCUGACCUGGCUGGCUAGGCGGGUGUCCCCUUCCUCCCUCACGGCUCCAUGUGCGUCCCUCCCAAAGCUGCGCGAUCCGUCAAAGAGGACGACCAUCCCCGAUAGAGAAGGACCGGUCUUCGGUCCUUCGGAGCUGCGCUCCCCUGCUAGAACCUCCAAACAAGCUCUCAGAAAUAACUCAUUUGUCUGAAAUUUAAUUUUUAGUACAAAACAUAUAUACCAGAAAAAAUAUAUAUGCCUAUUAUGUCAGUAUGU
ensembl:misc_RNA 7SK 7SK RNA